CCAGACUCCUACGGGAGGCAGCAGUGAGGAAUAUUGGUCAAUGGGCUUACGCCUGAACCAGCCAAGUCGCGUGAGGGAAGACUGCCCUAUGGGUUGUAAACCUCUUUUGUCGGGGAGCAAAUUCCGUUACGUGUAACGGAGUCGAGAGUACCCGAAGAAAAAGCAUCGGCUAACUCCGUGCCAGCAGCCGCGGUAAUACGGAGGAUGCGAGCGUUAUCCGGAUUUAUUGGGUUUAAAGGGUGCGCAGGCGGAGGUGCAAGUCAGCGGUCAAAUUGCGGGGCUCAACCCCGUACUGCCGUUGAAACUGCAUCCCUUGAGUGCGCGAGAAGUAUGCGGAAUGCGUGGUGUAGCGGUGAAAUGCAUAGAUAUCACGCAGAACUCCGAUUGCGAAGGCAGCAUACCGGCGCGCAACUGACGCUCAUGCACGAAAGCGUGGGUAUCGAACAGGAUUAGAUACCCUAGUA
rnacentral:rRNA from 1 species